rnacentral:rRNA from 1 species
AACUUCCGUUAAUUGAUUAUGACGUACUUGUACUGAUUGAGAUUUUAACACGAAGUGAGUGGCGAACGGGUGAGUAACACGUGGGUAACCUGCCCAGAAGUAGGGGAUAACACCUGGAAACAGAUGCUAAUACCGUAUAACAGAGAAAACCGCAUGGUUUUCUUUUAAAAGAUGGCUCUGCUAUCACUUCUGGAUGGACCCGCGGCGUAUUAGCUAGUUGGUGAGGUAAAGGCUCACCAAGGCAGUGAUACGUAGCCGACCUGAGAGGGUAAUCGGCCACAUUGGGACUGAGACACGGCCCAGACUCCUACGGGAGGCAGCAGUAGGGAAUCUUCCACAAUGGACGCAAGUCUGAUGGAGCAACGCCGCGUGAGUGAAGAAGGGUUUCGGCUCGUAAAGCUCUGUUGUUAAAGAAGAACGUGGGUAAGAGUAACUGUUUACCCAGUGACGGUAUUUAACCAGAAAGCCACGGCUAACUACGUGCCAGCAGCCGCGGUAAUACGUAGGUGGCAAGCGUUAUCCGGAUUUAUUGGGCGUAAAGCGAGCGCAGGCGGUCUUUUAAGUCUAAUGUGAAAGCCUUCGGCUCAACCGAAGAAGUGCAUUGGAAACUGGGAGACUUGAGUGCAGAAGAGGACAGUGGAACUCCAUGUGUAGCGGUGAAAUGCGUAGAUAUAUGGAAGAACACCAGUGGCGAAGGCGGCUGUCUGGUCUGCAACUGACGCUGAGGCUCGAAAGCAUGGGUAGCGAACAGGAUUAGAUACCCUGGUAGUCCAUGCCGUAAACGAUGAUUACUAAGUGUUGGAGGGUUUCCGCCCUUCAGUGCUGCAGCUAACGCAUUAAGUAAUCCGCCUGGGGAGUACGACCGCAAGGUUGAAACUCAAAAGAAUUGACGGGGGCCCGCACAAGCGGUGGAGCAUGUGGUUUAAUUCGAAGCUACGCGAAGAACCUUACCAGGUCUUGACAUCUUCUGACAGUCUAAGAGAUUAGAGGUUCCCUUCGGGGACAGAAUGACAGGUGGUGCAUGGUUGUCGUCAGCUCGUGUCGUGAGAUGUUGGGUUAAGUCCCGCAACGAGCGCAACCCUUAUUACUAGUUGCCAGCAUUAAGUUGGGCACUCUAGUGAGACUGCCGGUGACAAACCGGAGGAAGGUGGGGACGACGUCAAAUCAUCAUGCCCCUUAUGACCUGGGCUACACACGUGCUACAAUGGAUGGUACAACGAGUCGCGAGACCGCGAGGUUAAGCUAAUCUCUUAAAACCAUUCUCAGUUCGGACUGUAGGCUGCAACUCGCCUACACGAAGUCGGAAUCGCUAGUAAUCGCGGAUCAGCAUGCCGCGGUGAAUACGUUCCCGGGCCUUGUACACACCGCCCGUCACACCAUGAGAGUUUGUAACACCCAAAGCCGGUGGGGUAAC